rnacentral:lncRNA from 1 species
ACGCAUUCAAAAUAUACAAAUUCAUAUUUGGUACAAGUAAAUCAUCCAUUCAAGAUGCCUGGAUCAUAGUUUGAGGGAUAUGCUUGCUUCUAAUCUCUAUGAAGCAAUUCAAGAAUGCUUUUUCUCAAAUCCCAAUUGAAACCAGAAAUGCCCAGAAUACUACUAAUGUAUAAAGAUUACAAAUAUUUACCAGAAAUGAGAAGGGGCCAAGAAAGGAAACUGCAGAUCUUGUUGGACUAAUCUGCAGCAGGAGGGAAGUGUACUUAUUAUCGCUAAGCAUAUCCUCCUUAAUUUGUUUUGAGUGCACUUGGAGAAAAAAAAAAACAUCGUAACCGCAAAGCGGAGAAGAGAAAAAACUGAAGGAGCCCUAUAUUGCAUGCUGUCACUAAUUCAGUAAAAUACUAGACUCGAUAAAAAUAAAUAAAAAUUAAUAAAAAUAAAAAUUGGUGUUGUCCUUUGACAUGUCCAGUAUACAUAUUUCCGCCAACUAUGUGAAAUUCCUUAGUAUUAACAUUUACCUCUUCCUUUUUAACCUUGCAGCUAAAGCAUGGGCCUCACUGCGAUGGACGCCAACAAUAGGCUUGCUGAAGAGCCCAGCAAUUUUUCGAGCUUUCCGCACGCCAACUGCACCACCCAAAAAAAAUUAAAAAUAAAAGAGCAAGUAGCCAUAUACCUCAAAAUAUGAUGCAU